rnacentral:rRNA from 1 species
UACGUAGGGUGCAAGCGUUGUCCGGAAUUAUUGGGCGUAAAGGGCUCGUAGGCGGUUUGUCGCGUCGGGAGUGAAAACUCAGGGCUUAACCCUGAGCCUGCUUCCGAUACAGGCAGACUAGAGGUAUGCAGGGGAGAACGGAAUUCCUGGUGUAGCGGUGAAAUGCGCAGAUAUCAGGAGGAACACCGGUGGCGAAGGCGGUUCUCUGGGCAUUACCUGACGCUGAGGAGCGAAAGUGUGGGGAGCGAACAGG